rnacentral:rRNA from 1 species
GAUGAACGCUGGCGGCGUGCUUAACACAUGCAAGUCGAACGAAGCACUUUAUUUGAUUUCCUUCGGGACUGAUUAUUUUGUGACUGAGUGGCGGACGGGUGAGUAACGCGUGGGUAACCUGCCUUGUACAGGGGGAUAACAGUUGGAAACGGCUGCUAAUACCGCAUAAGCGCACGGCAUCGCAUGAUGCAGUGUGAAAAACUCCGGUGGUAUAAGAUGGACCCGCGUUGGAUUAGCUAGUUGGUGAGGUAACGGCCCACCAAGGCGACGAUCCAUAGCCGACCGGGGAGGGUGACCGGCCACAUUGGAACUGAGACACGGCCCAAACUCCUACGGGAGGCAGCAGUGGGGAAUAUUGCACAAUGGGCGAAAGCCUGAUGCAGCGACGCCGCGUGAGCGAAGAAGUAUUUCGGUAUGUAAAGCUCUAUCAGCAGGGAAGAUAAUGACGGUACCUGACGAAGAAGCACCGGCUAAAUACGUG